rnacentral:rRNA from 1 species
UGGGGAAUAUUGCACAAUGGGCGCAAGCCUGAUGCAGCCAUGCCGCGUGUAUGAAGAAGGCCUUCGGGUUGUAAAGUACUUUCAGUCGGGAGGAAGGUGUCAAGGUUAAUAACCUUGGCAAUUGACGUUACCGACAGAAGAAGCACCGGCUAACUCCGUGCCAGCAGCCGCGGUAAUACGGAGGGUGCAAGCGUUAAUCGGAAUUACCGGGCGUAAAGCGCACGCAGGCGGUUGAUUGAGUCAGAUGUGAAAUCCCCGGGCUCAACCUGGGAACUGCAUCUGAUACUGGCAAGCUUGAGUCUCGUAGAGGGGGGUAGAAUUCCAGGUGUAGCGGUGAAAUGCGUAGAGAUCUGGAGGAAUACCGGUGGCGAAGGCGGCCCCCUGGACGAAGACUGACGCUCAGGUGCGAAAGCGUGGGGAGCAAACAGG